GACGAACGCUGGCGGCGCGCCUAACACAUGCAAGUCGAACGAGCGAGAGAGAGCUUGCUUUCUCGAGCGAGUGGCGAACGGGUGAGUAACGAGUGAGGAACCUGCCUCAAAGAGGGGGACAACAGUUGGAAACGACUGCUAAUACCGCAUAAGCCCACGGCUCGGCAUCGAGCAGGGGGAAAAGGAGCAAUCCGCUUUGAGAUGGCCUCGAGUCCGAUUAGCUAGUUGGUAGGGUAAGGGCCCACCAAGGCGACGAUCGGUAGCCGGACUGAGAGGCUGAACGGCCACAUUGGGACUGAGACACGGCCCAGACUCCUACGGGAAGCAGCAGUGGGGAAUAUUGCACAAUGGGGGAAACCCUGAUGCAGCGACGCCGCGUGGAGGAAGAAGGUCUUCGGAUUGUAAACUCCUGUUGUUGGGGAAGAUAAUGACGGUACCCAACAAGGAAGUGACGGCUAACUACGUG
rnacentral:rRNA from 1 species